rnacentral:rRNA from 1 species
GAUGAACGCUGGCGGAGUGCCUAACACAUGCAAGUCGAGCGGCAGCGCGAGUAGUUUACUCCUUGGCGGCGAGCGGCGGACGGCUGAGUAACGCGUGGGAACAUGCCCCAAAGUGAGGAAUAACCUCCCGAAAGGACCGCUAAUGCCCCCUAUGAUCUUCGGAUUAAAGGAUUUAUCCGCUUUGGGAGUGGCCUGCGUACGGUUGGAUAGUUGGUGAGGUAAAGGCUCAGCAAGUCGACGAUCGUUAACUGGUUUGAGAGGAUGAUCAGUCAGACUGGAACUGAGACACGGUCCAGACUCCUACGGGAGGCAGCAGUGAGGAAUCUUCCACAAUGGGCGAAAGCCUGAUGGAGCAACUCCGCGUGCAGGAUGAAGGCCUUCGGGUUGUAAACUGCUUUUAUGAGUGAAGAAUAUGACGGUAACUCAUGAAUAAGGGUCGGCUAACUACGUG